rnacentral:rRNA from 1 species
GACGAACGCUGGCGGCGUGCUUAACACAUGCAAGUCGAACGAAGUGGCGAACGGGUGAGUAACGCGUAAUCAACCUGCCCUUCAGCGGUGGACAACAGUUUGAAACGACUCCUAAUACCGCAUACUGACGGUGGGGAUUGCGUUUCAUUAGCUAGUUGUAGGGGUAACGGCCCACCAAGGCGAUGAUCAUUAGCCGGUCGGAGAGGAUGAACGGCCAAAAUGGGACUGAGCAACGGCCCAGAAUCCUAAGGGAGGCAGCCGUGGGGAAUCUUCCGCAAUGGACGAAAGUCUGACGGAGCAACGGCGCGUGAGUGAUGACGGCCUUGGGGUUGUAAAACUCUGUUAAUCGGGACGCGGUACCGGAAUAGAAAGCCACGGCUAACUACGUGCCAGCAGCCGCGGUAAUAC